rnacentral:rRNA from 1 species
UCGGAUUGUAGUCUGCAACUCGACUACAUGAAGCUGGAAUCGCUAGUAAUCGCAGAUCAGAAUGCUGCGGUGAAUACGUUCCCGGGUCUUGUACACACCGCCCGUCACACCAUGGGAGCCGGGAAUGCCCGAAGUCGGUGACCCAACCGUAAGGAGGGAGCCGCCGAAGGUGGGUCCAAUGAUUGGGGUUAAGUCGUAACAAGGUAUC